GAUCCUGGCUCAGGAUGAACGCUAGCUACAGGCUUAACACAUGCAAGUCGAGGGGCAGCAUGGUCUUAGCUUGCUAAGGCUGAUGGCGACCGGCGCACGGGUGAGUAACACGUAUCCAACCUGCCGUCUACUCUUGGCCAGCCUUCUGAAAGGAAGAUUAAUCCAGGAUGGCAUCAUGAGUUCACAUGUCCGCAUGAUUAAAGGUAUUUUCGAGGUAGACGAGU
rnacentral:rRNA from 1 species